rnacentral:rRNA from 1 species
UACGAAGGGGGCUAGCGUUGCUCGGAAUCACUGGGCGUAAAGGGUGCGUAGGCGGGUCUUUUAAGUCAGGGGUGAAAUCCUGGAGCUCAACUCCAGAACUGCCUUUGAUACUGAGGAUCUUGAGUUCGGGAGAGGUGAGUGGAACUGCGAGUGUAGAGGUGAAAUUCGUAGAUAUUCGCAAGAACACCAGUGGCGAAGGCGGCUCUCUGGGGGUUUUCGUGACGCUGAGGCGCGAAAGCGUGGGGAGCGAACCGG